UACGGAGGGUGCAAACGUUGCUCGGAAUCACUGGGCGUAAAGCGCACGUAGGCGGUCCGAUAAGUCGGAUGUGAAAGCCCUGGGCUCAACCUAGGAAGUGCAUUCGAAACUGUCGGACUUGAGUACGGGAGAGGGUUGCGGAAUUCCCGGUGUAGAGGUGAAAUUCGUAGAUAUCGGGAGGAACACCUGUGGCGAAAGCGGCUCACUGGACCAUAACUGACGCUGAGGCACGAAAGCUAGGGGAGCAAACAGG
rnacentral:rRNA from 1 species